GGGGAUGUGGUUCAGUGGUAAGGCAUCUAUUUUCCAUACAUAAGGUUCCAGGUUCAAUCCCCCGUAUCUCCA